GAAAGAUUUAUCGCUUUAAGAUGGGCCCGCGGAAGAUUAGGUAGUUGGUGGGGUAAAGGCCUACCAAGCCGACGAUCUAUAGCUGGUCUGAGAGGACGAACAGCCACAUUGGAACUGAGACACGGUCCAGACUCCUACGGGAGGCAGCAGUGAGGAAUAUUGGGCAAUGGAGGAAACUCUGACCCAGCCAUGCCGCGCGAGUGAAGAAGGUUUUCGAAUUGUAAAGCUCUUUCGGAUGUGAAGAUGAUGACGGUAACAUCUAAAGAAGCCCCGGCAAACUUCGUGCCAGCAGCCGCGGUAAUACGAAGGGGGCAAGCGUUGUUCGGAAUUACUGGGCGUAAAGGGUGUGUAGGCGGGAAAGUAAGAUAGUGGUGAAAUGCCUGAGCUCAACUUGGGAACUGCCAUUAUAACUAUUUUUCUAGAGUGACAGAGAGGAUAUUGGAAUACCCAGUGUAGAGGUGAAAUUCGUAGAUAUUGGGUAGAACACCGGAGGCGAAGGCGAGUAUCUGGCUGUCAACUGACGCUGAGGCACGAAAGCAUGGGGAUCAAACAGGAUUAGAUACCCUGGUAGUCC
rnacentral:rRNA from 1 species